rnacentral:rRNA from 1 species
AACGAACGCUGGCGGCAUGCCUAACACAUGCAAGUCGAACGAACCCUUCGGGGUUAGUGGCGCACGGGUGCGUAACGCGUGGGAAUCUGCCCUUUGCUUCGGAAUAACUCAGGGAAACUUGUGCUAAUACCGGAUGAUGUCUUCUGACCAAAGGUUUAUCGGCAAGGGAUGAGCCCGCGUAGGAUUAGGUAGUUGGUGGGGUAAAGGCCUACCAAGCCGACGAUCCUUAGCUGGUCUGAGAGGAUGAUCAGCCACACUGGGACUGAGACACGGCCCAGACUCCUACGGGAGGGGGCAGUGGGGAAUAUUGGAAAAUGGGCGGAAGCCAGAUCAAGCAAUGCCGCGUGAGAGAGGAAGGCGGUCGGGUAGUAAAGCACUUUUACAAGGGAUGAUAAUGACAGUACCUGGAGAAUAAGCACCGGCUAACUCCGUG